GAGGCGCAUUUUAUUUCAAAUUUAUCCAGACAAAGACCAAAAGAUAAUUAAUACUCCAAAACUAUCUAAAGAAAUCGAUAAUAGCUUAUUCGGUAAUUAUCUGGAGAGAUAAAUAAAAUAUUUUAAUUUUGAAAAACCGUCUAUUGUUGAGAACACGGUGGAUUACUGGGAGAUAACAACUCGAACGGUUAAACUAAUGAAAUGUAAACGCAAUGGAAUCAUUGUG